AAAUGAAUUGACGGGGGCCCGCACAAGCGGAGGAACAUGUGGUUUAAUUCGAUGAUACGCGAGGAACCUUACCCGGGCUUGAAUUGCACCUGACGUAUUUGGAAACAGAUAUUUCUUCGGACAGGUGUGAAGGUGCUGCAUGGUUGUCGUCAGCUCGUGCCGUGAGGUGUCGGCUUAAGUGCCAUAACGAGCGCAACCCUUAUCUUUAGUUGCCAUCGGGUCAUGCCGGGGACUCUAGAGAGACUGCCGUCGUAAGAUGUGAGGAAGGCGGGGAUGACGUCAAAUCAGCACGGCCCUUACGUCCGGGGCUACACACGUGUUACAAUGGGGGGUACAGCAGGCAGCCACCUGGCGACAGGGCGCUAAUCCCAAAAACCUCUCUCAGUUCGGACUGGAGUCUGCAACCCGACUCCACGAAGCUGGAUUCGCUAGUAAUCGCGCAUCAGCCACGGCGCGGUGAAUACGUUCCCGGGCCUUGUACACACCGCCCGU
rnacentral:rRNA from 1 species